rnacentral:rRNA from 1 species
AGUGAACGCUGGCGGCAGGCCUAACACAUGCAAGUCGAACGGCAGCACAGGGAGCUUGCUCCUGGGUGGCGAGUGGCGGACGGGUGAGGAAUACAUGGGAAUCUGCCCAAUCGUGGGGGAUAACGUAGGGAAACUUACGCUAAUACCGCAUACGACCUACGGGUGAAAGCGGCGGACCGCAAGGCGUCGCGCGAUUGGAUGAGCCCAUGUCGGAUUAGCUAGUUGGCGGGGUAAAGGCCCACCAAGGCGACGAUCCGUAGCUGGUCUGAGCGGAUGCUCGGCCACACUGGAAAUGAGACACGGUCCAGACGCCUACGGGAGGCAGCAGUGGGGAAUAUUGGACAAUGGGCGCAAGCCUGAUCCAGCCAUGCCGCGUGAGUGAAGAAGGCCCUCGGGUUGUAAAGCUCUUUUGUCCGGAAAGAAAAGCUUUCGGUUAAUACCCGGAAGUCCUGACGGUACCGGAAGAAUAAGCACCGGCUAACUUCGUGCCAGCCGCCGCGGUAAAAC